rnacentral:rRNA from 1 species
GUACUGUGGCUGGCACGCCUUAUGCAUAAAGUCGAACGAGAAAGCCCUUCGGUUAGCGAGUCAGUGGCGGACGGGUGAGUAACGCGUAGUGAAUCUACCUUCAGUGUGUGGGUGACAACUCGGGGAAACUCGAGCUAAUACCUGCAUAAUACCCAAGGUGUCAAAGUGUGGGGAUCUUCGGACCUCACGCCAGAAGAGUGAGCCUGCGUUGGAUUAGCUUGUAGGUGGGGUAACGGAUCACCAAGUGCGACGAUCCAUAGCUGGUCUGAGAGGAACAUCCAGACAACAACUGGAAACCUUGAGACCACGGUCCCAAAACUCCUACUGGGAAGGCAAGCAGAUAAGGAAUCUAUGGUCAAUUGGUGCGCAA